CUUUCAAAAUACGCAAUAAGGUUAUUUUACUUAUAGCCCGAAUGGCACACCAUAUUUUUCAAUCCUGCCUUCAUUCGGCCAUUUUCACACGCCGCGCCGUUAGCAUGUUUGUGCUGUUCGUGGAAGUUGCAGAGGAUGUACUCAUCGCAUUUCAACGAUGAUAUAAUAUGUACAGCAAAAAUUGAUGGCAAGGGUGACAUGAAUCAGACUGACAAGAAUCCAUAUUCCUACUCCUCAAUAAUGCUAUCAUCACUGCCAUCAGAUUCAUCAAUGAUAGUGGCAUCAGUGACACAUGCGGAUAAGUGUUGGACAUCACUGAAGGAAUAGCUUCCUUGUUGUGCCUGCCAAUAGCAAGGUACCAGAUUAUACAGCAGUUAUGUGGAAACAGAUUCCCACAAUAGGGGGACCAGAUUGACACCUACAUUGUACAGUAUCAGGCAGUUAUAUCAGAACUGGAAAAACUGGAUCCAAACAAGACUAUAUUGCUUGGAAGAAACAUGUCGACUCUAAAGUUUAACCCUUAUUAACCCAUGACACUUCUAUGUCAUUUGAAAUAUACCUGUGGAGGUUUUUAAAGUGGUUUUUUUUGGGGGGGGAGGGUUAUUAUUUGGAAGAAUUCAUAUUUGAUGAUUCAAAUGAAAAUCUGCAGGUUGAAUUAUGAAUGUCAUAAUGUACUUUUUGAAUGAUGAAAAGUGUAGAGUCAAAAGUUAUCAAAUUGUCAAAAACACUGGUCAGGUCUGAAUUCAUCAUCUUGGACACCUUGCAGUUGGAAUUAUGAUCUCUAUGAAGAAAUGCUGAAAAUCUUGCAAUCACUAAUAAAAUGAAUUAUUCUAAAUCUUCGAAAUAUCAUCAAAUAUUUGAAGUAGUGUAAAUGUAAUGAAAAAUAAUGUACAGUACAAUAUGCAUUACAUUACCAUUACUUGUAAUGCAAAAAUGGUCCAUUACACCCCCAUUACAUUGAAACUGGUUGUCAUUUAAUUACCAUUACCCCAGGCCUGGUUCUGUCGAGAGGUAUUGAAAUUCUCUGUAGAGACUUUGUCUCAGGAAGUGGCCGAGAUUGAUUGUGACAAUUUUGUUGGAUGUGAAUUUACUGACACACAUGUCUACACUUGCUACACAAUAUAGCAUGUGGUGGUUUCAACAAGAAAGUUCUUACUCUGCAGGAAAUGACGAAUAGCUAAUGGAUUCACAUUUUUUCUGACUUUUCUUCUGUACAUUAGAUGCAUUGGAAAAACUUUCCUUUCCAUUAUCUUUUGCUGGUUCAUUCUUUGAAAUAAAAUCAAGUCCGAAAAUAAA